AUUGAACGCUGGCGGCAGGCCUAACACAUGCAAGUCGAGCGAGCGGCGGACGGGUGAGUAAUGUCUGGGAAACUGCCUGAUGGAGGGGGAUAACUACUGGAAACGGUAGCUAAUACCGCAUACCAUCAGAUGUGCCCAGAUGGGAUUAGCUAGUAGGUGGGGUAACGGCUCACCUAGGCGAUGAUCCUUAGCUGGUCUGAGAGGAUGACCAGCCACACGGGAACUGAGAAACGGUCCAGACGCCAACGGGAGGCAGCAUUGGGGAAUAUUGGACAAUGGGCGCAGGCCUGAUGCAGACCUGCCGCGUGUGUAAAGAAGGCCUUCGGGUUGUAAAGCACUUUCAGCGGGGAGGCGUUACCCGCAGAAGAAGCACCGGCUAACUCCGUGCCAGCAGCCGCGGUAAUAC
rnacentral:rRNA from 1 species